rnacentral:rRNA from 1 species
CCUACGGGUGGCAGCAGUGAGGAAUAUUGGUCAAUGGGCGGGAGCCUGAACCAGCCAAGUCGCGUGAGGGAAGACGGUCCUAUGGAUUGUAAACCUCUUUAGGCGGGGAGCAAUGCCGGGCACGCGUGCCCGGAGGGAGAGUACCCGCAGAAUAAGCCUCGGCUAACUCCGUGCCAGCCGCCGCGGUAAUACGGAGGAUGCGAGCGUUAUCCGGAUUUAUUGGGUUUAAAGGGUGCGUAGGCGGAUUUUUAAGUCAGCGUUAAAAUGUCCGGGCUCAACCCGGGCCGGCCGUUGAAACUGGGGAUCUUGAGUGGGCGAGAAGUAUGCGGAAUGCGUGGUGUAGCGGUGAAAUGCAUAGAUAUCACGCAGAACUCCGAUUGCGAAGGCAGCAUACCGGCGCCCGACUGACGCUGAGGCACGAAAGCGUGGGGAUCGAACAGGAUUAGAUACCCUAGUAGUC